AUUCUUUCAGUUAAGGAUGUUGGCUACUUACUCUGUUAAAGAAUAACAAGCUUUUUAAAAGACUGUUAUGAAUUGAUAGUAUAUAAAUAAAGAAACUAAAAAAGAAGAAAAAAUGAAGGGUCUGUGUGCUUGUUUUUGAGAUAUAAGCCAUUGAAAAUUUGGCGGGAAAUAAAUCUCUCUAGAUUUUUCAUAUAUUUAACAUUGGCACCUUAUCUGUUUCAAAAACUAUGAAAGAAUAACAAGAAUUUUAUAAAAUUUUGAAAUAUGGCUUUUCAAGCUUUAUGUAAUAAAAUUAUGAAAAGAAAAGUAGGGGUUAGUGGGCAAUUUUUUUUAAUGACAAUACAUGGAUAAAACCAGAGGAUUCUGAAAAUCUGGCAAAAAAUCAAAAAAUGGAGGAGCAAACAUCCUUAA
rnacentral:lncRNA from 1 species